AGCACGCACAGCAGGACAGACAGAGACAAAAACUAAAUUCAAAAACAGAAGAGGUGAGUCUUGAUCAACAGCACAGAUCACAAGAUUUAAAUGUAAAUGACGGAGUUUUUUUACUUACUAAAAGGAGCGUUGUGCAUUUAAAGCGGACUAUAAUUGUCCCUUUAGGUAUACGUUGCACUAGCUGUACUGCAAACUAAGAAUGGAUUUGACAUGUCGGAGCUGUUCGACAUAUGAUGGUCUUAUUAGCGCUGGAUGCCAACAUGACUAGAUGCUGAUGUUGCUAUAACAUUUGUGAUUAGAAUCUGCCUCCAAAUUCAACCCAUGAGGGUUUUUCUUAUUUGGGCUUCCCCUGCCAAUAUAUGUAUAUAUGUACCCUUAAAAUGGAGAUGACCAUGGAGUUAUCCAC